AAAAAUCUAAGCUGAACCCCAAACCUGGAACUGAACUGACGUCAAAACAUAUGAGGAAGCUGGAAUUUGUGAGGUGUUUAAGAAUCUGGCCACACGUCAAGCGCCCGCCUUUUCAUGAGGCAACGUGCAGGGUCAGUGCCUGAAAGUAGUUUCCAGAGUGC